rnacentral:rRNA from 1 species
GGGCGGUGUGUACAAGGGGCAGGGACGUAAUCAACGCAAGCUGAUGACUUGCGCUUACUAGGAAUUCCUCGUUGAAGAGCAAUAAUUACAAUGCUCUAUCCCCAGCACGACGGAGUUUCACAAGAUUUCCCAGACCUCUCGGCCAAGGUUAAUACUCGUUGGCUCCGUCAGUGUAGCGCGCGUGCGGCCCAGAACGUCUAAGGGCAUCACAGACCUGUUAUUGCCUCAAACUUCCAUCGACUUGAAAUCGAUAGUCCCUCUAAGAAGUGACUAUACCAGCAAAAGCUAGCAGCACUAUUUAGUAGGUUAAGGUCUCGUUCGUUAUCGCAAUUAAGCAGACAAAUCACUCCACCAACUAAGAACGGCCAUGCACCACCACCCACAAAAUCAAGAAAGAGCUCUCAAUCUGUCAAUCCUUAUUGUGUCUGGACCUGGUGAGUUUCCCCGUGUUGAGUCAAAUUAAGCCGCAGGCUCCACUCCUGGUGGUGCCCUUCCGUCAAUUCCUUUAAGUUUCAGCCUUGCGACCAUACUCCCCCCAGAACCCAAAGACUUUGGUUUCUCGUAAGGUGCCGAGUGCGUCAAAAAAAGAACAACACCCGAUCCCUAGUCGGCAUAGUUUAUGGUUAAGACUACGACGGUAUCUGAUCAUCUUCGAUCCCCUAACUUUCGUUCUUGAUUAAUGAAAACGUCCUUGGCAAAUGCUUUCGCAGUAGUUAGUCUUCAGGUAAUCCAAGAAUUUCACCUCUGACAACUGAAUACUGAUGCCCCCGACCGUCCCUAUUAAUCAUUACGAUGGUCCUAGAAACCAACAAAAUAGAACCAUAACGUCCUAUUCUAUUAUUCCAUGCUAAUAUAUUCGAGCAAAGGCCUGCUUUGAACACUCUAAUUUUUUCAAAGUAAAAGUCCUGGUUCGCCAAACACCACAAGGGCGAAAGGUUAGCCAGAAGGAAAGGCUCGGUUGGGUCCAGUACUCGCCAAAAAGGCGGACCGGCCAACCAAGCCCAAGGUUCAACUACGAGCUUUUUAACUGCAACAACUUUAAUAUACGCUAUUGGAGCUGGAAUUACCG